rnacentral:rRNA from 1 species
AGAGUUUGAUCCUGGCUCAGAAUCAACGCUGGCGGCGUGCCUAACACAUGCAAGUCGAGCGAGAAAAGGGGAGCAAUCCCCUGAGUACAGCGGCGCACGGGUGAGUAACACGUGGGUAAUCUGCCCUGGAGUGGGGAAUAACACCGGGAAACCGGUGCUAAUACCGCAUACGAUAACGAUGUCUGCGGACGUUGUUAUGAAAGGAGCAAUUCGCUCCAGGAGGAGCCCGCGGCUGAUUAGCUAGUUGGUGAGGUAAUGGCUCACCAAGGCUACGAUCAGUAUCCGGUCUGAGAGGACGGUCGGACACACUGGAACUGAGACACGGUCCAGACUCCUACGGGAGGCAGCAGUGGGGAAUUUUUGGCAAUGGGGGCAACCCUGACCAAGCAACGCCGCGUGGGUGAUGAAGUAUCUCGGUACGUAAAACCCUUUCGACGGGGACGAAAGCCGCAAGGUCUGACGGUACCCGUAGAAGAAGCCCCGGCUAACUCCGUGCCAGCAGCCGCGGUAAUACGGGGGGGGCGAGCGUUGUUCGGAAUUACUGGGCGUAAAGGGCGCGUAGGCGGUCCGCUAAGUCGGAUGUGAAAACUCUGGGCUCAACCCAGAGACUGCAUCCGAAACUGACGGGCUAGAGUUCUGGAGGGGGUAGCGGAAUUCCUGGUGUAGCGGUGAAAUGCGUAGAUAUCAGGAGGAACACCGGUGGCGAAGGCGGCUACCUGGACAGAAACUGACGCUGAGGCGCGAAAGCUAGGGGAGCAAACAGGAUUAGAUACCCCGGUAGUCC